AGAGUUUGAUCCUGGCUCAGAAUCAACGCUGGCGGCGCGCUUAACACAUGCAAGUCGAACGAGAAAGGGGAGCAAUCCCUGAGUAAAGUGGCAGACGGGUGAGUAACACGUGGGUAAUCCACUCCUCGGUAGGGGAUAACCCUGGGAAACCGGGGCUAAUACCGCAUAAGUCCGAGAGGAGAAAGGCGAAAGUCGCCGAGGAAGGAGCCCGCGGCCGAUUAGCUAGUUGGUAGGGUAAAGGCCUACCAAGGCUUUGAUCGGUAGCCGGCCUGAGAGGGCACACGGCCACACUGGCACUGAGACACGGGCCAGACUCCUACGGGAGGCAGCAGUGGGGAAUCUUGCACAAUGGGGGAAACCCUGAUGCAGCGACGCCGCGUGAGCGAUGAAGCCCUUCGGGGUGUAAAGCUCUUUCGACGGGAACGAUUAAGAC
rnacentral:rRNA from 1 species